CACAAUGCAAUAUUGUCUUUGACUGGUUACAUGAUGAAUAAAACAAAAAAUCACCAUCUUUCGGCUGACAGUUGUG
rnacentral:snoRNA from 1 species